CCGAAAAUGGAUCCUUAUCCUUUUUAGAUCAAGAUACUUAAUUUGAUGUAGUUAAUUACCCUAAUAAGUCUAUGUAUAUGAAAAUUAAAGUCGCCUCAGUCAUUUUACUUAAACCAUAAUAAAAAUAUUAAUUUAGAUUCUAUUGUUGUAUGUGAUUAAUUAGGUGCCAGCAAUCGCGGUUAUACCUAUUACUUAAAGUAAUUUAGAUUAAGCUAAGUUUUAAUUCUUUAUAAGUUUUUAAUCUUUAGUGAAAUAAAAUUAAAUUGAUUACUAUUUGAAGUAAAAUCUAAACCAAAUACAGAGCACUACUAAAACAAGGAUUAGAUACCCUUUUAUUAUAUUCUGGAUAAAACUUAAAGCUUGAGAAGUAAGACUGAAACUCAAAAAUUAUGGCGGCUACUAAAAAUAAGCAGGGGAACUUACCUAUUAAAUGACAACCACCAAGCUAACACAACUUAAAAAGAAAGUUUGUAUGCCGUCGUUUAUAAGCUGUUCUUAGAACAGCUUAAGUUUACUUAAUAAAUAAAACAGAUCAAGGUGCAACUAAUAUUUAAGAGAAAAGGCGAGUUACAAUAGAUUAUUUCUCUCUUACAACUGCUUUAAAAGCACUAAAGAGUUGGACUUGCAAGUAAUAGACAAAAUAGUAUAUAAAACAUGAAUCUCUGUUUUAAUAGUGC
rnacentral:rRNA from 1 species